rnacentral:lncRNA from 1 species
UCGUUUGUGAAGUGGAGAUCAUGCUAAUAGAGCAUGGGGUUGCCUUGACUGUGGAGUGAGGCAGAUUCAGCUAGCAGCAGCCUCCUGGGGUGUUGCAGGGCUUGAUGUGAAUGCAGGAGAGAAGUCCAUGAAAUGGAACAUUCUGUGGAUGGAAGCAAGUGUUUUUGCUGUUUAUGUGCGUGUGUUUAUGUCCGCCACGGUGGUGAUUUUUUUUUUUUCCCUUGACGUGAGCCAUAAAGUCCUGAAAAAGCCUCACAGAGCUGGAUUCUCACCUGCUGAUCUCAAGGGUCAUGAAUAU